rnacentral:misc_RNA from 1 species
GGGUUUUCUCCAAAGCACAAAACAAAAUCACUUCGACCCAGAAACAAGAACGUAGCUUUCAAACUCCAAAUCAAAAUUAAUGGCAACAACGACAACAAAUCAGGAGCAUCAGCAACAGGGAAACACAAACAAGACAGAGAAGAGAAAGCCGGUCUUUAUUAAAGUGGAUCAGCUUAAGCCUGGAACCACUGGCCACACCCUGAUCGCCAAGGUCUUGAACUCCAAUACGGUUUUGCAAAAGGGCCGAGCCACCGCCGCUUCUAACCGUCUCCGCAAUACACGCAUCGCCGAAUGUCUCGUCGGUGAUGAGACCGGCACCAUCCUCUUCACCGCCCGUAAUGAUCAAGGUCUAAUCCUAAUUUCCUUCUAUGAUAUUUAUAUAUGUGCACACUUUAAAUGAUGUAUGUGCAUCGUACGCGUAUGGAAAUGCUGGGCUCUUGUGAUGCAUGACUGGUUUCUGUGUGUUGAUUGGCGUUUUAAUUUGGUUGCGGUUCGAUAUUUUAAUAUGGUAAAGCUCUUGAUAUAUGUUGGGGUGAUUUGAAUUUUGGUGGGUCGUGGCCAUUUUUUGUUUUAAUGCCAAGGUGGGCCAUUUUUAUGGAGAUUUUGUUAGUUUACUGGUUUAGUUUCUUCUUUCUUUUUCCCUCUUUCCUUGAGAACAUAAUGAAGAUGUAGUGUUUUUGUAGUGUUUGGUUUGCGUUAGAAGAAUUGAUGCCUAAUUUAGUUUUGGUGUUAGUACAGAGUGAGUUCAACCUGAGACAUCUAGAAAUUUUCAUUUUUUUUGUUGAUUUGGCUCUAACUGGUUUCGAACUCAGGAUCUCAUGAUCCUUUAAGAUGACUCCAGUAAUACUCAUCAAAGUUCAUUGGUAGACAUCAAGAGAAUGUUAAUAAUGAAAGAAUGGCUUAAAUGAUAACUUUUUUCAUUUCUCCUUUCAAGUUAGUGUGAUGAGUUUUUAAACGCUUGAGUGGGAUUGCAAGCUUGCUUUCCUCUUUCUGACUCUCUAAUUGAGUUUUUAAGCCCCCCACACAAAUACACUGUACAAUGUGAUGGUUAAGACUUAAGAUGCCUGGCUUCAAACUUGACUGCAUAUGUUCAUGAUCAUGAUGCCUUUCUUUGCAUAUGGAGUUUUAGUUGAAGCAGAGUAAACAAGACUGAGAAUCAACUGUUGGGGAGCCAAAACUCCAUUUAGGUCUUGCUUGGUUUAAAUGAACUACUUCUUGGGAACUCUACUUCUUGGAAGUAAUUUAUUUAGCUUAGGGUGAGUAACUUACUUCCUUGGAAGUGGAUAAAAAAUGGCUUUUCACUUUUUAGGAAGUGUACACUUACUCCAAACCAAACAAGUUAAUUUUUUUGUGCUUGCCGGGAACUUGAAGUUCCCAAGUUAAUCUAUUUCCCAUAUGACGAAUUGAUUUUUGUCAUUUUUAUUACAUUCUUUCCCUUGUGUUGGAAUUUUUUUUUAAUUUGUGAGUUACCAGUUAUGACGAUGCAUUUAUGUCACCAAUACUGUCUCAGCAUGUCAAUGAAAUAUAUUGGUGAGUUGUAAACUUCACCAUUAUCACUGACGAGUUGUUGUUAAUGAUGCAUGCCUAUAUCUGGUGC